rnacentral:rRNA from 1 species
AUCGUCGGUCAUAGAACUGAGAAAGCACGGCAUCCCGUCCGUUCUGCCAAGUUUUGAGCUCAGUAUCGCUCGAUUAGUACCAUCGUGGGGGACCAAGUGGGAAUUCCGGGUGCUGAUGUUU